rnacentral:rRNA from 1 species
UGGGGAAUAUUGCACAAUGGGGGAAACCCUGAUGCAGCGACGCCGCGUGAGUGAAGAAGUAUUUCGGUAUGUAAAGCUCUAUCAGCAGGGAAGAUAAUGACGGUACCUGACUAAGAAGCCCCGGCUAACUACGUGCCAGCAGCCGCGGUAAUACGUAGGGGGCAAGCGUUAUCCGGAUUUACUGGGUGUAAAGGGUGCGUAGGUGGCAUGGCAAGUCAGAAGUGAAAGCCCGGGGCUCAACCCCGCGGACUGCUUUUGAAACUGUCAGGCUGGAGUACAGGAGAGGUAAGCGGAAUUCCUAGUGUAGCGGUGAAAUGCGGAGAUAUUAGGAGGAACACCAGUGGCGAAGGCGGCUUACUGGACUGUAACUGACACUGAGGCACGAAAGCGUGGGGAGCAA